UGUGAUCAUGAGGUGCAUUAGAACUUGCUGUGGGGUUGUGCUGUGGUUGGACAGCCACUCCUUUCGGUAUCUACUGGCUUCUGCAACGGGUGUCAACCUAGCAAUUUAUCUGUGCUGGCUGUAAACAAUCCUAAUUGGGCAACAACUUUAUGACUUCCAGCAGCGGUUGAUUUGAGGACUUUGACGCGAGACGAGUAUCUCGGAGUCAGAUUGGACCUUUCUAU